UACGUAGGGGGCUAGCGUUGUCCGGAAUCAUUGGGCGUAAAGCGCGUGUAGGCGGUCCGGUAAGUCCGCUGUGAAAGUCGAGGGCUCAACCCUCGAAUGCCGGUGGAUACUGUCGGGCUUGAGUACGGGAGAGGCGAGUGGAAUUCCUGGUGUAGCGGUGAAAUGCGCAGAUAUCAGGAGGAACACCAAUAGCGAAGGCAGCUCGCUGGGACGGUACUGACGCUGAGGCGCGAAAGCGUGGGGAGCGAACAGG
rnacentral:rRNA from 1 species